rnacentral:rRNA from 1 species
UGGGGAAUUUUGGACAAUGGGCGAAAGCCUGAUCCAGCAAUGCCGCGUGUGUGAAGAAGGCCUUCGGGUUGUAAAGCACUUUUGUCCGGAAAGAAAUCCUUGGCUCUAAUACAGUCGGGGGAUGACGGUACCGGAAGAAUAAGCACCGGCUAACUACGUGUCAGCAGCCGCGGUAAUACGUAGGGUGCAAGCGUUAAUCGGAAUUACUGGGCGUAAAGCGUGCGCAGGCGGUUUGCUAAGACCGAUGUGAAAUCCCCGGGCUCAACCUGGGAACUGCAUUGGUGACUGGCAGGCUAGAGUAUGGCAGAGGGGGGUAGAAUUCCACGUGUAGCAGUGAAAUGCGUAGAGAUGUGGAGGAAUACCGAUGGCGAAGGCAGCCCCCUGGGCCAAUACUGACGCUCAUGCACGAAAGCGCGGGGAGCAAACAGGAUUAGAUACCCUGGUAGUCCACGCCCUAAAACGAUGUCAACUAGUUGUUGGGGAUUCAUUUCCUUAGUAACGUAGCUAACGCGUGAAGUUGACCGCCUGGGGAGUACGGUCGCAAGAUUAAAACUCAAAUGAAUUG